UACGUAGGGGGCAAGCGUUGUCCGGAUUUAUUGGGCGUAAAGAGCGUGUAGGCGGCUGGGUAGGUCCGUUGUGAAAACUCGAGGCUCAACCUCGAGACGCCGAUGGAAACCAUCCAGCUAGAGUCCGGAAGAGGAGAGUGGAAUUCCUGGUGUAGCGGUGAAAUGCGCAGAUAUCAGGAAGAACCCCCGUGGCUAAGGCGGCUCUCUAGUACGUGACUGACGCUGAGACGCGAAAGCGUGGGGAGCGAACAGG
rnacentral:rRNA from 1 species